AGUUCUGUCCAGGGCCAAACAUGAAAACCUGGUCGCUCUACAAGGUUAUUGCGUCCAUGAUAGCGCACGUAUACUUAUUUACUCGUUCAUGGAGAACGGAAGUCUUGAUUAUUGGCUGCAUGAAAAUCCCGAGGGUCCAGCCCAACUGGAUUGGCCAAAAAGACUUCACAUUGUCAGGGGGGCAAGUUGUGGACUAGCAUACAUGCACCAGAUAUGUGAACCACACAUAGUGCACCGAGAUAUCAAGUCCAGCAACAUCCUUUUGGAUGGAAAUUUCAAGGCGUACCUGGCAGAUUUCGGGUUGUCAAGAUUGAUCCUUCCAUAUCGCACCCAUGUUACAACUGAGCUUGUGGGCACAUUGGGUUACAUUCCCCCAGAGUAUGGACAAGCAUGGGUAGCCACUUUGAG
rnacentral:lncRNA from 1 species